AGAACAAUCUAUUGGGAUAUAUGUGUAAAUAAUAAAAUUCCUAUUGACAUUCUUCUUAUGCCUUUAAGAGCUUGUUCUCUGGUGUAUAUGAUACUACUGAGGCUCAGAGAGAUUAAGUAACUCAUCCAAGGUCCACAGCUAGUAAGGGUGCCUGACUCCAAAGCCCAGCCAUGCUCUUCACAUGCAGAGUCCUGUGCAGACAGGUUAGGGGUUGGAUGGGGACAGAGGCAGGCCUAAGGAGGGGCCUUGGAGGAGUAGAUACCUGGCGGCUCUGGAAGCCUCUUCUGUAGCCCAUUGUGAGCAGAGGUCGAGAAGCCCGCCCCAGCCUGCUCCCUUGCACCUCGGGGCCUGUCAUGAGGAGCCAAACAGACAGAUUAGAUCAGUCCUGGCCUGUGGCCAGCCACCCAAAGCCUCUUAGCUGGUCUUGGGCAAUUCAUCCUUACCUCUGUGAGCAGAAAGGGUAGGACAGGGGGCUGAGAGGUCAGAGUGGGGUGACAGAGUGGGAGAGGACAAGGUGUCACCCAGACUCUGGUGACAGGUGGCAGCUGGCAGGGGUAAACUGGCUUCUCUGCCAUCUACACAACUCAGCUUCCAACCCCUGUGGCCUAGGGAACCCAGGUGUCUCACAUUCCCGUGCUUCUUUGCGCUGUGUUCACAAUUCAUGCCUCUGAUUCAUACUACUAAAAGAACUUUAUUUUUUAAAUUUUAUUUUUCAGAAAUAAAAUUGUAGCCAGGUACUGAGGCGCAUGUGUGACAUCCCAGAGACUAGAGAGAUUGAGUUAGGAGGAUCACAAGUUCAAGGCCAGUGUGGGCAACUUGGCCAGACCCUGUCUUAAACAAACUAAAAAAGGGCUUGGGCGGAGGUAGCUCAGUGGCAGAAGGCCCCUGGGUUUAAGAUUGUAGGCAGGGGGUGUAGCUUCAUGGUAGAGAGCUUGUCCGGCAUGCACAAGGCCCUAUUAUUGUGUUUCUAUCCCAAACAUAAUAAUAAUAAUAAUAAUAACAACAACAACAAAAAUUGUAAUUAAAAUAUGCCUACAGAAAAAUGCAUCCCAGGGGCUGGGGAUAUGGCUC
rnacentral:lncRNA from 1 species